UUGAAAGGGAAACGAUUGAAGUCAGUCGUACCGGCGGAUAAUCAGCCUUUCGAGUGCGAUUCUGUGGAGCGUGAGGAGCUUAAUCGCCUUCACGUCUUGCAUAUUCGUGCACUUUUGGUGUACUUGUCCGUGUGGUGAGUUAACAUCAAUUCCGGUCGGCAUAAAAUGAUUGGAGGAAUGUAGCUUCGAUCUCGUAUCGAAGUGUUAUAGACUCUGGUAGAUAUGACGAUUGGGGAUUGAGGAUUGCAACGGAUACCCUUCGGGGCUACCCGUCUGAUCUCUGAAGGUUGCUCCGGUGCCAAAAGCGUGCUUAUGGUCAUCGAAAGUGAUCGUCAUAAGGUUAGAACGGGUUAAAUUCGUUAAAGGAUGUUGACGUAAGUC
rnacentral:rRNA from 1 species